AAAAAAAAGGGGAAGGAAUGCCAGAAAACGGAUUCGACUCAAGUAGUUUUAAGAGAAUUCACAGGGUAAGUCUUCAUAUUUUGCCUCAGUUAAAACGUGUCAUAGAUGAUGCAGUGAAAGCAACCCUUGAUCAUUAGAAAAAUCAUUUGGUGAAAGUGAAGUGAUGCCCAUAAACAUUUAAUUUCAACCAAAUUAAGCAAUGGUUUGGUACUUCAUUCAAAUCCUUGACCGCAACGACAAGAGUAGUAAUUCGAGCACUGGAAUUGCCUUGUUCUCCAAAACUAAGCCUACACUCGCGACAUAAAUCCUGCUAACAGACAGCUGGCCUUAUUUUGUUAACCAAUAGCUACUAACCAUUUUGCUUUCUAAACAAUUUUCCUUUCCUAAUAUCGAACAAUUUUUUUUUAUAGUUUCUCUAGCAUCUAGUCCAUUUUUGCAUAAAGAGUCUUCGAUUAUAUUCAUUAAUUCAUGUUUAAGGAUCCAAACCCUUUAAUAAACAUGUAGAAAGGCCCCCAACGGAAUCGCUUGUCUAUUUAGCCUUUUUAUCUAUAUCUACUUAGUAUGGGUCCUUGGUUCUGAUUGGCAUUGAAUUCAAACUGGUUUCUGUUUUUGAAUUCCACCAGAGGAAUGUGUAAUGAGAACCGGAUAAAAUAACAGACUCAACACUUAAAGUUGUUACUGAUCGAAUGCUUCUUGUAACACCCCAUCCCUAAAUUGGUGGGCACUCGCCAUGAAGGCAACGCAAACACUCACUUAAUCACUUAUAUCCUACAAAACCAUUCUAAAUCGGCUUUUUAGUACUUCCUAUUUCUUGUGAAUCCACAUAUGUUCUGGCAAUACCAUGAAAAAUAACGCGAACUGGGGAUGCUUUUCAGGAACAGGUCCUGAUAUUCUAACCGCAUAUCAUACCUUAUCCCAAGCUUAAAAAGAAUAUAUACUUACGACAUAUCUAGCCAUCUGUGUAUUCUUCAGAAUAGGAAUCUAAUAAUAUCCGCAACAUCUCUAUGCAAAGCAUUUUUGUUUUUUUUUUCUUUUUGAAAAGCAAAGCAUUUGAUAUAGCAUCUUUCAAAAAUGACCUCCACUUAAUUUAUUAUAUUCCCUCAAAGGGACUUUCUGUCUGUUUCAUCAUCUACAACGGGCAAUGGUUCUUAUUCCAUGUCAUGACCCGAAAUAUACUAUAAAUUAAUGUGUUUUGAUGGUACUAAUACUUGAGGCCAGAAAAUUCGAAACUCUUUACUCUCUUUAACUUUCUGUGAAGAGGAAAUCAAAAAAUGGCAUCAAUGAAACCUGAAAAAUCUGGUUGCUGUGCACAAGAUGGACAGUGCAAGAAAGAGCCUGUGAAAGCUCCAGUCUCCCCUCCGGCCGCUAAGGCUCCAACUUCCACUCCGGGCCCUAAGAAGGUUGAGCAGAAGCCUCAGGAGCCCAAGAAGAAGGUAUUGGGUACCAAACCAGCAACUCCUGCCAAGAAGAUCUAAACAGAACAUUGACAAGUAAGGAAUUUAGCGCGUGAUGCGUUAGAUUCUAUGAAGCCGCAUAUUCAGUUGCAGUUAUGUUUAUCACUAGUUGGCUUGUGAUCUAUAUCUAUGUAGCCCUUCUCAGGCUCAGACUAAAUAAAUAAAAUAUAGAUAAUUAAAGGA